rnacentral:rRNA from 1 species
UACGUAGGGGGCAAGCGUUGUCCGGAUUUAUUGGGCGUAAAGAGCGUGUAGGCGGCUUUACAGGUCCGUUGUGAAAACUCGAGGCUCAACCUCGAGACGCCGGUGGAAACCGUAAAGCUAGAGUCCGGAAGAGGAGAGUGGAAUUCCUGGUGUAGCGGUGAAAUGCGCAGAUAUCAGGAGGAACACCCGUGGCGAAAGCGGCUCUCUGGGACGGUACUGACGCUGAGACGCGAUAGCGUGGGGAGCAAACAGG